AGCCUACGGGGGGCAGCAGUGAGGAAUAUUGGUCAAUGGGCGGAAGCCUGAACCAGCCAAGUCGCGUGAGGGAUUAAGGCCCUAUGGGUCGUAAACCUCUUUUGUCAGGGAGCAAGGUCGUCCACGUGUGGGCGUAUGGAGAGUACCUGAAGAAAAAGCAUCGGCUAACUCCGUGCCAGCAGCCGCGGUAAUACGGAGGAUGCGAGCGUUAUCCGGAUUUAUUGGGUUUAAAGGGUGCGUAGGCGGUCCGUUAAGUCAGCGGUAAAAUUGCGGGGCUCAACCCCGUCGAGCCGUUGAAACUGGCG
rnacentral:rRNA from 1 species